rnacentral:rRNA from 1 species
AUUGAACGCUGGCGGCAGGCCUAACACAUGCAAGUCGAACGGUAACAGAAAGCAGCUUGCUGCUUUGCUGACGAGUGGCGGACGGGUGAGUAAUGUCUGGGAAACUGCCUGAUGGAGGGGGAUAACUACUGGAAACGGUAGCUACUACCGCAUAACGUCGCAAGACCAAAGAGGGGGACCUUCGGGCCUCUUGCCAUCGGAUGUGCCCAGAUGGGAUUAGCUAGUAGGUGGGGUAAAGGCUCACCUAGGCGACGAUCCCUAGCUGGUCUGAGAGGAUGACCAGCCACACUGGAACUGAGACACGGUCCAGACUCCUACGGGAGGCAGCAGUGGGGAAUAUUGCACAAUGGGCGCAAGCCUGAUGCAGCCAUGCCGCGUGUAUGAAGAAGGCCUUCGGGUUGUAAAGUACUUUCAGCGGGGAGGAAGGGAGUAAAGUUAAUACCUUUGCUCAUUGACGUUACCCGCAGAAGAAGCACCGGCUAACUCCGUG